CAAUAGCGUAUAUUAAAGUUGUUGCAGUUAAAAAGCUCGUAGUUGGAUUGAGAGCCCGUGACGGUCGCGGUCUGCCGGGACGGUAUGCACUGCCUGUCAUUAGGGUUUUUUAUUCGUUCGGUUAGUCCCCUUCUGCUCUUCAUUGAGUGGGAGGUGUUUGGCUCCGGACUGUUUACUGUGAAAAAUUAGAGUGUUCAAAGCAGGCAUCCUCGCCUUGAAUACAUUAGCAUGGGAUAAUAGAAUAGGACUUUUCUCCUAUUUUGUUGGUUUCUAGGAAAGAAGUAAUGAUUAACAGGGAUAGUUGGGGGCGUUUAUAUUUAAUUGUCAGAGGUGAAAUUCUUGGAUUUCUGAAAGAUAAACUGCUGCGAAAGCGUUCGCCAAGGAUGUUUUCAUUAAUCAAGAACGAAAGUUAGGGGAUCGAAGACGAUUAGAUACCGU
rnacentral:rRNA from 1 species